ACCAGAUUGGAGCCUGGGGGUCCUGAUGGGCCGUAGAUGCAUUGGCAGCCCGUUGUCCUCUCAGUUAAGAAUGAAGACAGAGCACAGAUGAGGUCCUGGAUGGAGGUUGAAAAUACUCCUGGACUCCAGUACAUGACCCAGGAAUGGGAGCUCACGGCCAAAAGACAGAGAAGCAGAAGUUUAUGUGGUCUUUUCAGUUUUCUGCUGAGUUAAAGGAGUGUUAUGGCAUUUAGGAUCUUCGUAAAUGAUCUUGUCAUAACCCCUAUUGACAAGAGAGGACUCCCUCCCAUAAGACACCACGAAGAAGCCAAGAUCAUCACACGUCGUGUUUUGUCCCUGCUGCCUCCUUUCCAUGGCCAUGUCCUCGCCAUCUGUCCACAUUGAUGGCUUUAGCAGAAUCCUUUUCUCCAACCUUGAUUGUUGCAUUGUCUUCCAACUGGCCUCCCUACUUCUUCUUCUUCUUCUUCUUUUUUUUGCAAAGGGGGAGACACAGAAAUAGUUAAGUCACAACAAACACUUUUAUUUAUUUAUUUAUUUUUUGUCUUUUUGUCUUUUCUAGAGCCACACCUGUGGCAUACAGAUGUUCCCAGGCUAGGGGUCUCAUCGGAGCUAUAGCGGCUAGCCUACACCACAGCCACAGCAACGUGCGAUCUGAGCCGUGUCUGUGACCUACACCACAGCUCACAGCAAUGCCGGAUGCUAACCCACUGAGUGAGGCCAGGAAUUGAACCCGCAACCUCAUGGUUCCUAGUCGGAUUCAUUAACCACUGAGCCACGAUGAACUCCUAUAAUUCGUACUCCUUUCAGCCACCAGGAUGAAUUUUGUGUUACAAAAUCUACCUGCCCCUUGUUUAAAAUCAGUGCUUUUCCAUUCCCUUGGUAUAAAUGGAAAAGACCUAUUUAUCCAUUUAGCCCAGGUUAAAAAGUCUUGAGUGAUUAGCAUCUGUCUCCUCGCCCUGACCCUACAUGGUCCCAACUCCAGCCAUAGAAAUGUUCUCCUCGUUUUCCAGUGCUCUCUGCUUCUGUUAACCCCACACAGGUGACCACAGAUAGGACCAGGUCAGCUGCUGAUAGAACUUGGCAGCUUCCAGUCGCUCAGAGAACACACCUAGGCUCGACCUUGGUCUAGGAGCGCUGGCAGGCCCAAGCCCUGCUCCUCUGUGCUGUCCCCUUCCAGCUCCUCUCCGAACCCAGGACGGCCCUGCCUAGCCCAGCCCUACUCUCUGCAAGCUCAACUGUCACCUCCCCAGGGGAACCUUUGCGGAAUCCCUUGACUGGUCAGAGCAUCUCUUUACUUAAAACUACACCUGUGAAUUUGUGUGUGUGUGUGUUUGCUUCCUCCACGAACUGUAGGCUCUACCAGGGCAAAAAUCUUGUCGUGCUGUUGUUAUGUUGGUUUUUCAUAGAGACUCACUCUUCUAUCCCCAGUAUUAACAUAGCAUCUGGCAUACAGUGAGAGCUCAGGAAGCCAUUGCUUAAUGGAGUAAUCAAUUUUAGCCUUUCUGGAGAUUAUGAAGUUGGAAACAGAGUCAUGGCAUAAAUGUGAGAGUAAACAGUUGCUAUCUUAAGUUAAGCAAAGCUUCUUGGAUAGGACACGGAAAUCACAGGCAACAAAAUAAAAAAUAGAUAAAUUGGACA
rnacentral:lncRNA from 1 species